UAUUUCAGGGUUUAAGAGAACUACAACAGAUAGCAAGAGAACCUGAGAAAAAGCCAUAUAGAGAUGUGUUGUCUUGAAUACAGAUGAUGUAAAAUUGUUAACAGAAAACUCUCCUGUAAUGAUUGAAGAGUACCGGAAAUCUACAGAAUAUUGGUUCUUGUCUCCAAGCCAUUUGACCUAUCUACUAUUUUGUAAAGUAGCAUAUAAAAUCAGGUGUCAAAUUAAAAAUAUUGUGAAAUAAAUGUAUUAAUCAUUGAAAUUUUGGCAUCCUCAAAUAUAUAGGCAACACUAGUUUACUGAUAAAUCUAUUGAGAAGAUACAAAUCUAGGUAGAAAAAACUUGUUGAAUCCCAAAAACUCAUAUAGGAGGGAAAAUAGGGGUUUAGACUGGUUGAGCAUCUCCUGCUUUGCAUACAAAUUCAUACUCUGCCAAAAUGUCUGGGUCCAGAAUAAAAUAGACUACCAUUCUAGUAUUUUAAGACGUAAGACUAUGAAAUCAUACCAAAGUUAUUCGAGAUAUAUAUAUAGAGACACUUUGUAUAUGUCUGGCAGACAUGUUCACAGGAAUAAAUCUUUCUGUUCACCAAAUAAAUUUAACAUAUUGCUUAU
rnacentral:lncRNA from 1 species